rnacentral:rRNA from 1 species
CGUGGGUAAUCUUCCCUGAAGCUUGGGAUAACUCCGAGAAAUCGGAGCUAAUACCAAAUGUGAUGAUUAGAGGGCAUCUUCUGCUCAUCAAAGUUGGGGACCGUAAGGCCUGACACUUUAGGAUUAGCCCGCGGCCUAUCAGCUAGUUGGUGAGGUAACGGCUCACCAAGGCUAAGACGGGUAGCUGGUCUGAGAGGACGACCAGCCACACUGGAACUGAGACACGGUCCAGACACCUACGGGUGGCAGCAGUCGAGAAUUUUUCUCAAUGGGGGAAACCCUGAAGGAGCGACGCCGCGUGGGGGAUGAAUGGCUUCGGCCCGUAAACCCCUGUCAUCUGCGAGCAAUCCCUCCAGCUUAACACGUUGGAGGUUGAUAGUAGUGGAAGAGGAAGGGACGGCUAACUCUGUGCCAGCAGCCGCGGUAAUACAGAGGUCCCAAGCGCUGUUCGGAUUUACUGGGCGUAAAGGGUGCGUAGGCGGCCAAAAAAGUUUGAUGUGAAAUCUCGGAGCUUAACUUCGAAACUGCAUUGGAUACUGGUUGGCUUGAGGAGUGGAUGGGAGACUGGAAUUCUCGGUGUAGCAGUGAAAUGCGUAGAUAUCGAGAGGAACACCAGUGGCGAAGGCGAGUCUCUGGACAUUUCCUGACGCUGAGGCACGAAAGCCAAGGGAGCAAACGGGAUUAGAUACCCCGGUAGUCUUGGCUGUAAACGGUGCGCAUUUGCUGUGAGCGGAAUCGACCCCGCUUGUGGCGAAGCUAACGCGAUAAAUGCGCCGCCUGGGGAGUACGGUCGCAAGAUUAAAACUCAAAGAAAUUGACGGGGGCCUGCACAAGCGGUGGAGUAUGUGGCUUAAUUCGAUGCAACGCGAAGAACCUUACCUGGCCUUGACAUGCA